UACAGAGGUCUCAAGCGUUGUUCGGAUUCAUUGGGCGUAAAGGGCGCGUAGGCGGCGGGGUAAGUCGGGUGUGAAAUCUCAGAGCUCAACUCUGAAACUGCACUCGAUACUGCGUCUGCUUGAGGACUGGAGAGGAGACUGGAAUUCACGGUGUAGCAGUGAAAUGCGUAGAUAUCGUGAGGAAGACCAGUGGCGAAGGCGGGUCUCUGGACAGUUCCUGACGCUGAG
rnacentral:rRNA from 1 species